CCUACGGGUGGCAGCAGUGAGGAAUAUUGGUCAAUGGGCGCGAGCCUGAACCAGCCAAGUAGCGUGAAGGAUGACUGCCCUAAGGGUUGUAAACUUCUUUUGUAAAGGAAUAAAGUGAGGCACGAGUGCCUUUUUGUAUGUACUUUAUGAAUAAGGAUCGGCUAACUCCGUGCCAGCAGCCGCGGUAAUACGGAGGAUGCGAGCGUUAUCCGGAUUUAUUGGGUUUAAAGGGAGCGUAGGUGGGUUGUUAAGUCAGUUGUGAAAGUUUGCGGCGCAACCGCAAAAUUGCAGUUGAAACUGGCAGUCUUGAGUACAGGAGAGGUAGGCGGAAUGCGGGGUGGAGCGGUGAAAUGCUGAGAUAUCACGAAGAACUCCGAUUGCGAAGGCAGUUCACUGGACUGCAACUGACGCUGAGGCUCGAAAGUGUGGGUAUCAAACAGGAUUAGAUACCCCGGUAGUC
rnacentral:rRNA from 1 species